GUCCUUUUGGAUUUUUAUUUAAGGUCUAGUCUGCCCACUGAAUUUAUAUUUUUAAAUGGCCGCAGUAUUUUGACUGUGCAAAGGUAGCAUAAUCAAUAGUUUUUUAAUUAAAAGCUUGUAUGAAAGGCUGGACGAGGUAAAAUCUGUCUCUAUUUAAAUUAAAAUAGAAUUUAACUUUUAAGUUAAAAGGCUUAAAUAUUAUUAAAAGACGAGAAGACCCUAUAGAUCUUUAUAAUUUGUUAAUUAAAAUUAGUUUAGAAAUAUUAAUGUUUUAUUUAAUUAAAUUAUUUUAUUGGGGUAAUAGAAAGAUUAAAUUAAUUCUUUUUUAUAGUGAACAUUAAUUUAUGAAUAUUAAAUGAUCCAGUUUUAUUGAUUAUAAGAUUAAGUUACCUUAGGGAUAACAGCGUAAUUUUUUUAGAGAGUUCAUAUCGAUAAAAAAGUUUGCGACCUCGAUGUUGGAUUAAAGAUUAUUUUAGGUGUAGAAGCUUAAUAAUUUUGGUCUGUUCGACCAUUAAAUCUUUAC
rnacentral:rRNA from 1 species